rnacentral:rRNA from 1 species
AGCAGCCGCGGUAAUUCCAGCUCCAAUAGCGUAUAUUAAAGUUGUUGCAGUUAAAAAGCUCGUAGUUGAAUUUCGGGGUUAGUAGGCUGGUCAUGCCUCUGGUAUGUACUGGUCUUACUGACUUCUCCUUUCUGAAGAACUGUAAUGCCAUUAAUUUGGUGUUGCAGGGAAACAGGACUGUUACUUUGAAAAAAUUAGAGUGUUUAAAGCAGGCUAACGCUUGAAUACAUUAGCAUGGAAUAAUGAAAUAGGACGUUCGAUCCUAUUUUGUUGGUUUU